CGCUGGCAUCGAGGGCCAGGCCAGGCUGUGCCAGCAGUCAGGAAAACAUUGCACUGAGUUUGGGACACAGAUGUGAGGAGCUGCAGCCACUUAGCCCAUGUCCUUUGGAAGUCCUCUACCAGUUUAUUAAGGGAGCAAGGAACCAAUUGCAAUUCCUCAUUAAAAAUCACUUCUGCUUAAUUCCUGCAACUCCAGUUGUGGACACUGAACCUCAACCCUAAUGCCUUGGAUUUCUGUUCAGGUCAGCUAUGAUGGAAACUCUUCAAAGUGUUGCUCAAGUGUGGUGGGCAGAGAGAAAUGAGACCCUUCCUGCUCCCAUUUCCAUCCAUCCAGUGGUUCCUACCUGCCAUGGGCUCGUUGCUGUUCCCAAUGCCAGGAAUUUGGUGAGCUUGGGGGUUAGACAGAGCAGUGGGGCUGAAUUCAGCACUGCAGAGAAACUGCUCAGCUUCUGCAAGGGAGACAGAAAUGUGCAAUUAAAAACCACCACAUCCACCAUCCACGUUUGUGUGGUGGUGUUUUCAGACCUGCCUUCAUCCCCAGCCUUGAAGUGGAAAAAGCAUUUGGAAACAGCUGCAGCAAAGCAAAUGCUUGUAAGGCCUUGCAGGUAUUCUUAUUUAUAAUAAAUAAAGGUAUGAGAAACCACCACAGGUACAUACAUCUCUCCAUUUAUAGUUUGUCUGAAAUCUAUUAAAUCCCAGUUUGGCUGAAAGCAGAGAGGAAUGCAGUGAAACUCAUGGCACUCAUCUAGGAAAAAUAUUCCAAAAGGUAGCCUAUCAGUUUUAAAAUGACUUUGCAGCCUUUAUUUUGGUCAUCUCAGUAAAUGUCUAAUUACCACUUGGACUACUUUCUCCCUGAAGCCAGUGCUCAUUAAAAGUCCCCUGAAUUCAGUAGGUCACUGAAGGCACUCUGAAGCUGGGAUGCCUCAGUACCCAACGCCCAGCUCAGCUCCUCUCCUUUUUUAAUAUCCUGAAGGGGCUAAAAUGGUUUUCCCAGAAUCCAAAAGAGGCUUUUCUUCACCACCAGAGUCCCAAGUACAUUUUAAGUGUAAAGUGGAGUUUCUC